rnacentral:lncRNA from 1 species
CCUCCCUGGGCACUGACCUGCAGGAUGAACGAAAGCUGCAUAUUCAUGAGCAUCCUCCAAAGCAGGAGGGGCCCUGAGGCUUGGAGGGACUACUGGAGUCUUUGGAAGAGAGACUGGACCAGAGGACCCCAGCUGUCUCAGAGUCUGCUACACCUGCCAAAUUAAACCAUCAGGAUCAGGAUAAGAAUGGAUGGGAAAUCU